AUUGAACGCUGGCGGCAUGCUUUACACAUGCAAGUCGAACGGCAGCGCGGGCUUCGGCCUGGCGGCGAGUGGCGAACGGGUGAGUAAUACAUCGGAACGUGCCCAGUAGUGGGGUAUAGCUCGGCGAAAGCCGGAUUAAUACCGCAUACGACCUUAGGGUGAAAGCGGGGGAUCUUCGGACCUCGCGCUAUUUGAUCGGCCGAUGGCAGAUUAGCUAGUUGGUGGGGUAAAGGCCUACCAAGGCGACGAUCUGUAGCUGGUCUGAGAGGACGACCAGCCACACUGGGACUGAGACACGGCCCAGACUCCUACGGGAGGCAGCAGUGGGGAAUUUUGGACAAUGGGCGAAAGCCUGAUCCAGCAAUGCCGCGUGUGUGAUGAAGGCCUUCGGGUUGUAAAGCACUUUUGGCGGGAAAGAAAAGGACUGUGCCAAUACCACGGUUCGAUGACGGUACCCGCAGAAUAAGCACCGGCUAACUACGUG
rnacentral:rRNA from 1 species